rnacentral:rRNA from 1 species
UACGUAGGGCGCAAGCGUUGUCCGGAAUUAUUGGGCGUAAAGGGCUCGUAGGCGGUUUGUCGCGUCGGGAGUGAAAACCUACAGCUUAACUGUGGGCCUUGCUUCGAUACGGGCAGACUUGAGGCAUGCAGGGGAGAACGAAUUCCUGGUGUGAGCGGUGAAAUGCGCAGAGUAUCAGGAGGAACACCGGUGGCGAAGGCGGGUUCUCUGGGCCAUGUUCUGACGCUGAGGAGCGAAAGUGUGGGGAGCGAACAGG